AUCCUACGCAGCCUUGUCCCUGCCUCUGCUCACCGGCGACGAUCACCUCGCGCCCAUUCAGGGACCAUGUUAGAAAACAACAGUGUUGUGGUGACAGACUUCUCAGAUGAUGAUAGCAAUUGUGAAUGUUCUGUAAAAAAGGAAGAAGAUUGUGAGAGUGUAAGAACGAGAGCAAAAUGGGCUUUUCAGCAUCUAUUCAGUUUGCAAUGUUGAGGUGAAGGCAAUGCCUUACUGAUCUUGCAAUU
rnacentral:sRNA from 1 species